ACAGUAAAGAAGCUUUGAUGCUUCUGGAGACUGAACUUUUUCCUCUCCAAUCGGAGGAUUGUCUUUUGAGUGCAUUUAAAUGGAACUGUUUUUUACCGUAUUUUUUGUAUGGCCCAUUUAUAUAUUUUGGUACAGGUUAAUCAUGUCUCCCAUUAGACGUCUCUUUUCAAGACUAAA